CGUUAAAGCUUAAUUAUAUACCCAAUCAAUCCCAUAAACAAACCAAAACCCCACCCCCAUACUGAGUAAUUCCAUACACCUAUGGAAAAUAUAAUGUUAAAACUAGUAACAUGAAGCUAACCCUUCUCUUAAAUGUGAGUAUAAGCCAGAGUGGAAAACACACUGACAAUUAACAGCCUAAACUAAAGUAAUAAAUCUCUAAGAAAAUCUUACUAACACAUCUGUUAAUCUAACACAAGAACAUUUAAAGAAAGACUUAAAGAAAAAGAAGGAACUCGGCAAAACUGAUUCCGCCUGUUUACCAAAAACAUCGCCUCCUGAAUAAACUAUAGGAGGUCCAGCCUGCCCAGUGACUCUGUUUAACGGCCGCGGUAUCCUAACCGUGCGAAGGUAGCGUAGCACCCUGUUUUUUAAUUAAAGACCUGUAUGAAAGGCGCACGAGAAUCACACUGUCUCCUUUCUCAAGUCAGUGAAACUAAUCUCCUCGUGAAAAAGCGAGGAUAUUCCUACAAGACGAGAAGACCCUUUGGAGCUUAAGAUGAAUAAAUACCUGCCCACUCCCUUUUCCCCCACCUAAUAGCACCAUAUUUAUAAGUCUUGGGUUGGGGCAACCGCGGAAUAAAAACAAACCUCCGAGCUGAACGGAAACUUCCUAAACAAAAAGCAACAGCUUUAUGUAUCAACAAACUGACACAAUUUGACCCAAUAUAUUUUGACUAACGAACCAAGUUACCCUAGGGAUAACAGCGCAAUCCACUUCAAGAGUUCAUAUCGAAAAGUGGGCUUACGACCUCG
rnacentral:rRNA from 1 species